UGUUUUGAUUUUACAAAAUAU
rnacentral:piRNA from 1 species